GGAAGGGUGGCCGAGUUGGUUAUGGCGCCAGGUUUAGGUCAGCUUAACAUCUGUUUCCUGGUGGGGCAACCCGCGCGAGUUCGAGUCUCGUCCCUCUCA
rnacentral:tRNA from 1 species